UACAGAGGUCCCAAGCGUUGUUCGGAUUCAUUGGGCGUAAAGGGUGCGUAGGUGGCGUCGUAAGUCGGGUGUGAAAUCCCGGGGCUUAACUCCGAAACUGCAUUCGAUACUGCGGUGCUUGAGGACUGGAGAGGAGACUGGAAUUUACGGUGUAGCAGUGAAAUGCGUAGAGAUCGUAAGGAAGACCAGUGGCGAAGGCGAGUCUCUGGACAGUUACUGACGCUGAGGCACGAAGGCCAGGGGAGCAAACGGG
rnacentral:rRNA from 1 species